rnacentral:rRNA from 1 species
CCUACGGGGUGCUGCAGUGGGGAAUAUUGCGCAAUGGGCGAAAGCCUGACGCAGCGACGCCGCGUGAGGGAUGAAGGUCUUCGGAUCGUAAACCUCUGUCAGCAGGGAAGAACGGUCACUGUGCUAAUCAGCAGUGAAUUGACGGUACCUGCAAAGGAAGCACCGGCUAACUCGGUGCCAGGAGCCGCGGUAAUACGGAGGGUGCGAGCGUUAAUCGGAAUUACUGGGCGUAAAGCGCUCGUAGGCGGUAUGUCAAGUCAAGGGUGAAAUCCGCGCGCUCAACGUGGGAACUGACUUUGAAACUGGCAAACCGGAGUGUGUGAGAGGAUAGUGGAAGUCCAGGUGUAGGAGUGAAAUCCGUAGAUAUCUGGAGGAACAUCAGUGGCGAAGGCGAGUAUCUGGCACAUAACUGACGCUGAGGAGCGAAAGCGUGGGUAGCAAACGGGAUUAGAUACCCCAGUAGUC